rnacentral:rRNA from 1 species
AUUGAACGCUGGCGGCAGGCUUAACACAUGCAAGUCGAGCGGAGAUGAGGUGCUUGCACCUUAUCUUAGCGGCGGACGGGUGAGUAAUGCUUAGGAAUCUGCCUAUUAGUGGGGGACAACAUUCCGAAAGGAAUGCUAAUACCGCAUACGUCCUACGGGAGAAAGCAGGGGCUCUUCGGACCUUGCGCUAAUAGAUGAGCCUAAGUCGGAUUAGCUAGUUGGUGGGGUAAAGGCCUACCAAGGCGACGAUCUGUAGCGGGUCUGAGAGGAUGAUCCGCCACACUGGGACUGAGACACGGCCCAGACUCCUACGGGGGGCAGCAGUGGGGAAUAUUGGACAAUGGGGGGAACCCUGAUCCAGCCAUGCCGCGUGUGUGAAGAAGGCCUUAUGGUUGUAAAGCACUUUAAGCGAGGAGGAGGCUACUGAGACUAAUACUCUUGGAUAGUGGACGUUACUCGCAGAAUAAGCACCGGCUAACUCUGUGCCAGCCGCCGCUGUAA